rnacentral:lncRNA from 1 species
AGGGCAGGUGCCUAGUGCAAGGGUGCAGGGUAGACAAAGUAGGCAAGAGCCUCUAUCGGCUGGAAGGCAAGACCUAGAUCAAGAUUCUGCAUCUGGCUAGGGCCUGGCUGAGGUCUCCUAUACAGUCAGAAAGCUGAACAGGAUUCCAAGGUCAUAGUGAGGACCACAUACCUGCUGAGCAGAAGGCAGAAAAGAGGAUGGAUACAGAUGGAGAGAGAGAACAGUCUGAAUGCCAGAACCUUAAGGAACUGGGGCUGGAAGGUCUAAGUGCAAGGGAACAAGAGAGCUUGAAGUUCCUUUUGGACACCAUUGCUGCCCUGGAUGUGGAUGGGGACCAGGACAGGGAACCUGAGGUUCUAGACAAUGGUCAAACCUCAGCACCAGGUGGUCUUAUGAAGCAUGAACCCCUGGCCACCCCAAGCAGACUCCGUAAAUUUGACACCAUCAUACGAUCUGGUGUCAGUGUCAGAGAGCUACGAGACCGUUUCCGGGGUUUGAACCAGGUACCAGGGACCAAAGAGACUACAGGACAAAUGUUGCCUCCACAUGCCCAGAAGCCUGGGCUUCUUCCAAGCCAUGCCAGACUUGCAGAAACUCCCAGCCAGGUUGCUAGGGUUCCCAAAUUAGGGACUGGACAUUAAAGGGAACCUGAGAGCCCUGUAUAGGAGACCAUAGAGCUAGAAGAAAACCUCAAAGAGCAUCUAAUCUAAGCCAAAAUAUUAUGAACAGUGGUCUCUUCCAUAGCAUCCCCAAGAAAUGCUCAUCUAGAUUCCCCUUGAAAACUUCCUAUGAUGGAAGCUCACUACCUGAAGCAGCCCAUUUCACUGUAAUGAAGCUGUUACUAUUAGACACCUACUUCCGAGGAGUGUCCCCAUUGUUCCUAGGUCUGCCUUGUAGCACCAAAGAAAAUUCUAGGAUCCUCUAGACAACCCUUGAAAUACUUGAGGCUUCUUAUUUCUAGGCUUAUACAUCUCCACUUCCUUCAACUUAUUUUCAGAUAGGAUGAUCUCCUCCUGUCCCAUUUCCAUUGUAGUUGCCCAAGAGAGGUUUCAGUUUUUCAAUAACCUCCCUAAAAAAUGUGAUAACUACAACUGAAGACAACACAUUGGAAAUCAUCUAACCAUGGACAUGAUUUCCCCAAAUACUCCCAAUAUGACCUGACCCCUCCUUUCCAUUCUGGAUUAUUCCUCUCUGGAUGCAGUUUUAAUUUGUGUUAGCUUUUUUGACUACCAUGUCACACUGGGUGGAUACUGAACAGUAAGAGUAGACUCAUGGAUUAAAUGAUCUCAAAGAUUUCUUUUAACCCUCAAUCUAUUUAUGAAUUGUCAGCAGCCUACUAAAUCUUACCAAUCUCUUCACAGGAACUACUGUUUAACUGGACAUUUUUUGUAUACUUGUGCAGUCUGACUUUAAAAAUCACAAGAUUUAAAACUGAAAGGAGCAUUAGCAUACUAACAGAUGAAUAAAGUGAGGCACAGAGAGAUGAGGUGUCUUUCC